rnacentral:lncRNA from 1 species
ACAUGCCCACACCAGUGGCUUUGUGAAGCAGAGCACCAGCAGUGACAGUCCCACCAGAACCACAUGGAAUAGAAAACCGUGCAUUUCCCUAAGGAAAGGGAAUGCCAGAGAAGGGCACAAGGGAAAUCAGGAAGACAAAACAUGUCUUCAUGUUGGAGUGGACCUUUCCUCUAUCUGUCAACAGAAUGGAUAAAUUGUGGAAUAGUCAUAUCAGAAUACUACACAUCAGUAAAAAACAACAAACUUCUGCUACAAACAAUCACAUCGAUGAAUCUUGCAGACAAAAUGGUUAAUGCCCACAAUAAGUGUUCUUGAAAUACAGUCAUGCGUUGCUUAACCAUGGGGAUAUAUUCUGAUAAAUGCAUCAUUAGGCAAUUUCAUCACUGGACGAACAUCACAGCUUGUACUCACACAAACCUAUAUAGCCUACUACACACCUAGGCUAUAUGAUAUAGGCUAUUGCUAGCAACAAACCUGUACAGCAUGUUACUGUCUUGAAUACUUAGGCAGCGGAACACAAUGUUACAGAAGCAGAUAAUCAGUGGCCCAUGGAUUCCAGGUGAGGAUCUGGG